rnacentral:rRNA from 1 species
GUCAGCGGCGGACGGGUGAGUAACGCGUGGGAAUGUACCCUUUGCUACGGAAUAGUCCUGGGAAACCGGGGGUAAUACCGUAUGUGCCCUUCAACUGUAAGAGGUUGGGGGGGAAAGAUUUAUCGGCAAAGGAUCAGCCCGCGUUGGAUUAGGUAGUUGGUGGGGUAAUGGCCUACCAAGCCGACGAUCCAUAGCUGGUUUGAGAGGAUGAUCAGCCACACUGGGACUGAGACACGGCCCAGACUCCUACGGGAGGCAGCAGUGGGGAAUCUUAGACAAUGGGGGCAACCCUGAUCUAGCCAUGCCGCGUGAGUGAUGAAGGCCUUAGGGUUGUAAAGCUCUUUCAGUGGGGAAGAUAAUGACGGUACCCACAGAAGAAGCCCCGGCUAACUCCGUGCCAGCAGCCGCGGUAAUACGGAGGGGGCUAGCGUUGUUCGGAAUUACUGGGCGUAAAGCGCACGUAGGCGGACUGGAAAGUUGGAGGUGAAAUCCCAGGGCUCAACCUUGGAACUGCCUUCAAAACUAUCAGUCUAGAGAUCGAGAGAGGUGAGUGGAAUUCCGAGUGUAGAGGUGAAAUUCGUAGAUAUUCGGAGGAACACCAGUGGCGAAGGCGGCUCACUGGCUCGAUACUGACGCUGAGGUGCGAAAGCGU